rnacentral:lncRNA from 1 species
AAGGAAACAUGAAACAUGAAUUAAUCCAUUAAACUAUUUUAUCUACUUCUAUUGUCACCAUGCUAUUUAAAAAGAUGUGAAAUGACCACUCCUUAUGGAUGACGGUGCAAAAAUGCAUAGGCUAUCCUAGGACCACUGUGGUGAAGUAAGACCGUGGUCAUAGACUUUAGAACCACAGUGGUUGGCAUGGCUAUAGUCAUAGAUCAUACUAUGGUGUAGCGAAAUGCAAAUCU